UAAAAGACUCCUUACAUACUGUAUUACUGUGCAAACUAUAUGGAAACACCAAAUGUAGCACAUAGAAAGUAUUUGUUGAAAUGAUUAUAAAACGAUUUCACUUGGUAAUUUCUACAUUAUUUUACUCUAGUAAAAUUUAUUAUAAGACUGCUUACAUACUGUAUUACUGUGCAAACUAUAUGGAAACACCAAAUGUAGCACAUAUAAAGUAUUUGUUGAAAUGAUUAUAAAACGAUUUCACUUGGUAAUUUCUACAUUAUUUUACUAUAGUAAACUUAAUUAUAAAAUACUGCUUACAUACUAUUUUACUGUGCAAACUAUAUGGAAACACCAAAUGUAGCACAAAAAAAGUAUUAAUUGAAAUGAAUGUUAGUUCUACAUUAUUUUACUAUGGUAAACUUUAUUAUGAAAGACUGUGCUAUGUUUUUACUUACUAGGUUUUAAGGAGAAUGCAACAUGUUCCAGGGCCUCUUACCUGCGUGAUUCAUCAUCCAGGUUUUGCACAAAUUGUCUAAAUCCCUACACACAGAACAUUUAUUGUACCGACUAUAAGCCUUUGAGGCGCAGGACUAGAAUAUGCUUGGAGCUUCCUGAUCGGAAUGUUGGCUUUCGACGACCCCUGCACUGAAGAUGGCAUGCAAUCACGUCCUCCUUUGAAGGUCUCUCAAACUGUGAUGCCAGGUCCAUUGGAAUCGGGGUUUCCUUCAGCUUAUCUUCAAAUACCUCAUCAAACACAAGCCUGAUCACAUCAUCCACAUAACUGUAGAAAUAUUGCAGUCAAUAAAUCUUUUGUUUUGAUCAUUUAUUUCCCUGCUUCAUACAUUAAGUUUUUAAUUAUGAAUGUAUUUGAAAUAAAACAUUACUGCUUA